CUUUCGCCUUUGCUUCCAUCUGUGCCAGGUAUACCUGGAUUUCCAAUCGGUCCGGGGUUUCCAGGUCGACCGGCUUCUCCACUAUUACCCUUAAUGCCUGGUAAUCCGGAUGGCCCUGGCGACCCGGCUGGACCUGAAAGAAAUAUUGGAAGGAAACCUACUGCUGGCCCAACUAAGCCCGGUACUCCAGGAGGUCCCAUAAUACCUGGUUCUCCUCUAGCACCCGGUUCACCCCUUACCCCUUUGGCUCCCGUUAAACCAGUUAAACCUUGUGGUCCAGCUUCGCCAGGACUACCUAUGUAUUUAUAAAAUCUAUUUUUGUUAUGAUACUUCAAUUUUUUGUUUAUAAAUAUUGUUUAUAUACACGAUUAAAACUUGUAUCAUAUUUUUCAAA